GACGAACGCUGGCGGCGUGCUUAACACAUGCAAGUCGAACGGAAAGGCCCUGCUUUUGUGGGGUGCUCGAGUGGCGAACGGGUGAGUAACACGUGAGUAACCUGCCCUUGACUUUGGGAUAACUUCAGGAAACUGGGGCUAAUACCGGAUAGGAGCUCCUGCUGCAUGGUGGGGGUUGGAAAGUUUCGGCGGUUGGGGAUGGACUCGCGGCUUAUCAGCUUGUUGGUGGGGUAGUGGCUUACCAAGGCUUUUACGGGUAGCCGGCCUGAGAGGGUGACCGGCCACAUUGGGACCGAGAUACGGCCCAGACUCCUACGGGAGGCAGCAGUGGGGAAUAUUGCACAAUGGGCGGAAGCCUGAUGCAGCAACGCCGCGUGCGGGAUGACGGCCUUCGGGUUGUAAACCGCUUUCGCCUGUGACGAAGCGUGAGUGACGGUAAUGGGUAAAGAAGCACCGGCUAACUACGUG
rnacentral:rRNA from 1 species